CGCCAACCCAAUUGAAUAGCCCAUAUCUUACUUGACUACUAACUACUCAGAAGUCAGACCUCGGUGGCUGCUUCCCCUCUCAACCCUAAAUCUUCGUAUCUUCUACGUCCUGCGACCACGAAAGAGAUAUAGCGAUGUCAAUGGAGAAUCCUCCAGGGAAACAAGGAGUUGAGUCACUAUCUCUUACUGCAGGGGAUGAAUCCUCCUCUUUGAAUCCGUUGAAUUGUACCACACAGAUGAGUGUCGAAGAAAAAUUCAGGAUUGUGAGGAGUAUUGGAGAAGAAUGCAUCCAGGAGGAAGAACUGUUGAAUCUUCUUACCAAAAAGCCCCAACCCAUCUGCUACGAUGGGUUCGAACCCUCUGGGCGAAUGCAUAUUGCUCAGGGUGUUAUGAAGACGAUUAAUGUUAAUAAACUGACUUCAGCUGGUUGCAAAGUAAAGAUUUGGAUAGCAGAUUGGUUUGCUCAAUUAAACAACAAAAUGGGUGGAGAUUUAAACAAAAUCCAAACUGUUGGACACUAUUUAAUUGAGAUCUGGAAAGCUGCAGGCAUGAAUUUGGAAGAUGGUAAAGUAGAGUUUAUUUGGUCUUCUGAAGAAAUCAAUUCAAGGGCACAUGAAUACUGGCCAUUAGUCAUGGACAUUGCUAGAAGAAACAAACUUCCUAGAAUAAUGAGGUGCUGUCAAAUCAUGGGUCGAAGUGAGCAGGAUGAACUCACUGCAGCCCAAAUCUUCUACCCUUGCAUGCAAUGUGCUGAUAUUUUUUUCCUCAAGGCUGAUAUCUGUCAAUUAGGGAUGGAUCAAAGAAAAGUUAAUGUUCUUGCAAGGGAGUACUGUGAUGACAUCAAAAGGAAAAACAAGCCUAUUAUAUUAUCUCAUCAUAUGCUUCCGGGUUUGUUACAAGGACAAGAAAAGAUGUCAAAAUCUGAUUCUUCUUCUGCUGUUUUUAUGGAGGAUGAAGAGGCUGAAGUUAAUUUAAAGAUAAAGAAAGCAUAUUGUCCACCCAAUAUUGUUGAUGGAAAUCCAUGUCUUGAGUACAUUAAAUACAUUGUAUUCCCUUGGUUUAAUGAGUUCAAAGUUGAAAGGAAAGAGGAAAACGGAGGUGAAAAGGUUUUUACCAGUUAUGAUGAAUUAAUUGCUGCUUAUGCAAAAGGGGAGUUGCAUCCUGCUGAUUUGAAACCUGCGUUAUCCAAAUCUUUGAAUAAGAUAUUGCAGCCUGUGCGUGACCAUUUCAAGAAUGAUGAGAAGGCCAAGGCUCUACUGAAGAGGGUUAAGGCUUUCAAAGUUACAAGAUGAUGGAAGUCUUUUAGUGAGUGGAUGAGAAGAUGGGAGUUUACUUAUAUUAAACAAAUUGUUCAAAUUUUCUUCACAUAUGAUAUUAUUAUUAUUUAUAUUUUGCAUCAACUAGUAGCACUUGAAACACAGUUUGGUUUUAAUUAUUUGGGAAGAAUAAUAACAUACUUUUACUGCAUAAGAAAAUAAUUAUUUUGGAAGAAAUAA